AAAAAGAAUUUCCAUAUGCUUGCGUUCACUUCUAUGUGGCAGCGGGUCGGAAUGCAGUUUCUGCUACUGUUACCAAUGGCAUUCAAACUGACAGCCUUGAGCACCACACAAACAACUGUCGAGUGGAGCUGCACAGCAAAGCAACAACUCCACCAGGAGACUCUGGUUGGUCCACCAGACAUCAGGGAGUGAAGUAGGGAUUCCUGGGGACUCGUCUCUCUCUAUCUCUCACUGAUUUACCGUGCCAGGUCACUUUUAAAAACAAAGACCGUCGGACAGUAGACAAGGCAAUAAUGGAAGCGCUUCAGAAAACUUUGACUUACCGGGGCGACCAUGGUCCUUACAGAAAGCUACUCCCAGACAAGGCUAUCUAUAAUUCAGGUAAACAACAGGAUGAAUCCAAAUACGUGGAGAUAGAUGAUCUUCUUGAUAUGAAAUCGGAAGGCGCAAAAACUGUCAAAGUUACUUUUAGUACUGGAGAAGGCAGCCAGCUGGCAAUAUUUAACUGUAAAAACGGCACAUCCACUGCUGAAAAUGAAAGCCCCGACUACCGAGAAAUGAAUGCAAAUGAAGUUAAACCCACAACGGGCGUAAGAGCAGAGCAGUUUCUCACUGCGGAUCUCUCUGGCUCGUCUGAAUCUUCUGAAAUACCCAAGAACGAUGAUGAAUUUACAGACUGCCCUGAAACGUCGGUUCAGAAGCGGGGCAUGAUCUCUGGAACUGAAACAAAAAAUGCACCUAAAAUGUCUAAGGCAAAACCCUCACUGGAUUGGGACAACGAUGAACUGGAAUACACGGAUAUAUUUUUGAACAGAAAGAAUGAGAAAGAAGGAAGCCCUAGCCGCCAGAAAUCGGACGAUUACGCAUCAAACGACAAUGAGGAUGAGACCCACUAUAUUUCAACUCACGAAAUACAGCUGUGUGAGUUAGAUGAUGAUGUUGAUUAUGACUUUGGGCAGGGGUCGUCAUGGGAUUUUGAGGACGACAAUUUGGUCUAUUCCUUUGUGGAUUAUGCCUCUUUUGACAGUGAUGAAACUGUGGAAGGGACACAAAUAGAGGAUAGUGAUUGUGUAAAUGUGAAAAGCAAUCAGACUCAAUCUAAUAAUACAGUUCAGCGCACUAGCGGAGCAGCAGUCAGCACUAAGCAUGAAAGCGAUCUAUGUGACACGGACAAAUCCGCUAGCUCAGAUGAAAGCCUGUCAAAGAACCAAAACGGCAGUGAGAAUUCUGCAGGCCAGAUUCACCUGUCAAUCAAAACGACUUCCAGGGCUAUAAAUGAGCCUAACAACGUCCAAGAAAGGGAAAAUAUUGGUUAUGAUGCCAAGUAUGAGAGAGACAUGAGCCGCUAUGUCUUAAAAAACACUGGUGCUAAAACAGAGAACAUCACUGAUCGUGCGAAAUGUUUUAUUGCAGCUCCAGGACGUCUUCACUUUGGAAGUAAUUUAAAAGGUAAAAAAGAUAUAACUGAAUACUCGAGUGGCGCAUCCAGUGCUGUCAGUGAGCUGGAUGAUGCUGACAAGGAAGUGCGUAAUUUAACUGCCAGAGCAUUCAAAAGUUUGGCUUGCCCUUAUUUUGACACAAUUAAUUUUAGCACCUCCAGCGACUCUUCGGCAUCUUUAUCAGAACACGGCCGUGGGAUUAACAAGUGGUCAACUUUUGUUGACUUAAAAUAUGGCAAUCUGACCCAAAGAAGCAAACAAAACGUGGUUUCACAUAAGAGCUCUACAUCAACUUUUGAAAUUAACAAGAAUUUGGCUAUAGGCAAUAUACAGCCACCUCAGAGUAAAAGCAUAGCUUUAAAUGGAAACAUUGCAGAUAGCAAAAGGAGCAUUUCAUCAACAAAUGAAAUAAAAGUGAAAGAGGGAAUUGAACAAGGGGUAAUAACUUUGACUGAAACUUUAAAUUUCCGUUGCAAUGUUAAAGCGGGCGUCCCUGGAAGCGAAAGGCGUGCAAAAUUUGCAGAAAAGGUCGCAGGAUCGCGUUCUACAGAUGAAGUUACAGACACCUUGUCAAGCGAGCUGGGGGGUGAGGCCAGCAGGCAAACUUGCAAGGCAGGGGAAGCCAUGGAAGGCACACACAAGAAAGCACAAUUUGCCACAAGUCUUCUCAAAAAUGUAAUCUCUAAGAAAAUGCAGUUUGAACAGGAGCGCAAAAUGGAAAGAGGAGAGAUCUCCGAAACACCCUUUCCGGGAUUGUCACCUGGUCUGUCUUGUAAAGAGUUCGAAUUCCCGAAAGAAAAGGUAGGUGGCGAAUCCCGGGAUUUUCAAAGGCAAAACUCCAGGUUCUCAGAAGGGAGUUCUGAAUUUACAAUUGUUUCAUUGAAUGAUAUAAAAGAUUCUGCGGAAAGUAAACCGUGUGAUCUCAAGGACUCGGCUCAUAAGGAAGACGCUUCAACUAUUACAUCAGAAACUAAUUUGGAGUCCUCCUUUGAAGCGGGGUUCGAUACUAAAAAAGGAGUAUCUGAUACAGCCAAGGGUAUGCUACUUCGUAGCCAGAAUAGCGCAUUUAGAUCAUGGAAGGACGGUGAGGUAGAGUUUCAAAAGGAAUAUAAAAACGACGAUAAAACCCUUGCAGGGAAAUCGGCUACCUCCACAGAUAAGACGGAACUGCAGCACCAACCAAGCAGCGGAAAAUCAACUAAAAUGUCACAACUGUUUGUGCCGAGCAUUCAGCUUGUUUCCAAUGAGAGUAAAAUUGGAAAAACACAGCAAAACAACAACUAUUCAACCAAGGCAGUUCCAGAUCUAGGAGAUGGAAGCAACGUUCUGAGCCCCGACACCUUGUACGUAGCUGAUUCAGCCAGAAGCUUGGUAACUUCUAAGUCACCUGAAAUCAAAAUAAACCUGCGGAGCGUAAAGGAAAACAAGCACAACCCGUUCAACAUUGCUAAGCUGCUAACUCCUAAUAUAGGUUGCAGUGCGGCCAACCUGAUAAAGACAGCUGAUGACUCAAAAUGCCAAGCGCUUUCUGUAGCAUUAAAGGGUGAGUCGUCGGAAAAAGUGCCCCAUUUCACGGUCAGAGACAUGAGGGAUAACAAAUGCAAGCUCCAAACACCGAUUCAUCAGGUCAGGGACGUGCGCAAGCUGGUUAAAAGUUCAUAUCACUUUGUUUCUCUGGACAACAACGACUCCAAAGGCUCUGCUUCUGAUCAGAACGCAGAACAGAAAUCUAUCCAGCAGGGCCACUUCAGAAAACCGGGUUCGCUUUCACCUAUAGUGAUAAAGUGCCAGUCAGUAAAUACAAACAGCAACGUGACACCAUCAAAACGCAGACCAGUCGAGGGUAUUUUGGAGGCAGGCAGAGUGUCUACACCUCCUUCAGAGGGUGCCAAAAACGGAACCACACUGGUCCACAGAACAACAGGCAGAGUUGCCCUGGUUACUGCAUCAAAGCAACAUAAAAGCGAAUCGUCCGAGGCGCCUGCUGGGGUGAAAAUUGAAACCAAGUCAACUAACCAGAAACCGGAAAAAAAUAUCGAACCCACAGAAAAGAAACCAGAAUCAAAAAUGGCCAACCAGGCAGCCUUGGAAAAACUCAGAGCUGCUGUUAAAACCAUGGAACAGUUGUAUGUUUUCGACAGAAACGAGUGGAAGCGAAAAACCCAACCACAGCCAAUUACUGAUAGUCAUGUGCUGUCACUCAUUGCUAGUGAAGAGGGUCCAGAGGGCAACCAGGAACAGUGCGCGGUAAAAACAACAACAGGAGAGGAGAAUGUGACUGUAAGUCCAUCGACAGUAGAGAGAUUGGCCAGGAGAAACUCUUAUCCUACUGCAGAAAAGUCAAGUCAGUCCGCCGUUGCAGGGUCAGUGUUCGAUUUUUUGCCGAAGAAAGAAGUCAAAGAGUAUCUGAAAACGUUUCACAUUCCCCUUAACAGAGAGGACAAAGACGUGUCCAGAUCUCUUUCUCAGCAAAGUGGAGCCUUCACCAACAAAAACGUUUCCACUUUUACUAACAACCAGAAAACUUCCUCCAGAGGCAGCAGUAUCAAUGUCACCAAUAAACUGCCUCAGCCAUAUACUUCUUCACAACCACCUUUCAGCACAAAAAGCAUUGUUCCCAAAUCUCCUAAAGCCCCCAUGUCACUAAAAAUAUUACAGGCCAAAGUUGCACCUGUCAAAACGGAGAAAAAUAGCAGUGAAGCAGAAAAGAAGCAGGCUCAUUCAACCUUUACAACAGAUUCAGAAAAUUACCUUACAAUACCAGUUAAACCACAAACCAGCGAAGCCAAACCUACCACAACCAGUCGAGAGCAAAAUGCUGUGUACACCUUUGCAGCCACAGGAGCCAAACCCCAGACCACCAGUCCUUUGAGCUAUUUCAACCCAGCUGAUUCUAGAAGACAAGAAGACAGCAGUCAGUCCCCCAAAAGAUCUUCCGUUGUUAUGGAGACACGGUCCCCAGAUACCCCUACUGCCACCAUCUAUCAUCACUCCCUGCCAAUGGCAAUGUCUGGUGCACAGCCUCAGGUGAUUUGUUUUUCACCAUCUGUGCCGCCACCUAUAGACCAGUACCAACAGACACAAAGGAAGAUGCUGUUGGAUCCAACAACUGGACAAUAUUAUCUUGUGGAUACCCCCGUCCAACCUGCCACUAAGAGGCUGUUUGACCCUGAAACAGGGCAGUAUGUGGAUGUCCCUAUGCCCCAGCAGCCAAUGACCCCAGUACCAUUAGCAUUAAGUCCUGGUGCUUAUGGUGCCACAUAUAUGCUAUACCCAGGUUUUUUGCCCACAACCGCUGGGUUGCCCACCAGGACUUUGCAGACCCAGUUGUCAUCUCAUUCAGAGGCAGAUGACAUAGAUAAAAUGAGCAGCAAAGAAGUAAUACAUUUGGGGAAACAAGGAGAUGUAGCUUACAUGGAAAGCCCCUACUACGUCCCCACUGGGAAAUCUGCACAGGCACCAUCUACCAGCCAGCAUAUAACAAGCAGGGGGUCAAAAGCAUUCUCUGACGGAAAACCUGUGAUUAGCAUUGUGUCACAGCAAGGUCCAAGAAUAAUCGCCCCACCCUCCUUUGAUGGAACUACCAUGAGUUUUGUUGUGGAGCACAGGUAGAUCAAUGGAGAUCGACUUAUGUACAUGAAAUUGGCAAAGACAAAUUGAUUAUACUGAUGCUGGAUUUACCCUGUUCCUGUUGGUCAACCCUCUGCAACUUAUUAUUAGUGAUCACUGCUGUAGUAUCAAUGGUUUUCUGCUUUAACGGAGCAAGCUAUGAAGAACCACCCCCCUUUCGAUUAUGAAGACGGCUUGGUACUGUCAGAGAGAUUUAAAACAAGGCCUUUUACAUCACUGCUGCCAACAGAAUAUUGUGUGUUUUAUCAUAUUGAUUUAUUUAUCUUAAUACCCCUCAAUUUAUUUUCUUUUUUUAUUAAUCUUUGCAGCAUGCAGAAAAAUUUGAAACUGUGCAUUCUGACCUACUGCUUAUCUGCUAAGUAUAUCACCUUGUGCUGCUUUUAAAUAUUUAGGUGAACCUUGAAAGUUUUGUGUAUGAAUAAUCAGAAAUAUAGCAACAUAUUGUUUGAAAGAAACUCUGCUUUCAACUGACUUGCUAACUUUCUGUAACAUCCAAACUUACUAAACCAGUCCUUUUCUUUUAUUAUUAUU